GAUGAACGCUGGCGGCGUGCCUAAUACAUGCAAGUCGAGCGAACAGACCAGGAGCUUGCUCCUCUCACGUUAGCCGCGGACGGGUGAGUAACACGUGUAUCACCUCCCUAUAAUACUGGGAAAACCUCGGAACACCGGAUCUAAUACCGGAUAAUCUCUUGCACCGCAUGGUUGAUUAGUGACAGACGGUUUUGCUGUCUCCUCUAGAUGCAUCCGCGCCGCUUUAGCUAGUUGGUAAGUUAACGGCGUACCAAGGCAACGCUGCGUAGCCGACCGGAUCGGGUGAUCGGCCACACGGGAACUGAACCACGGUCCAGACUCCUACGGGAGGCAGCAGAAGGAUAUCGGACGCAAUGGGCGAAAGCUUGACGGAGCGAGGCGACGUGAGUGAUAAAGAUCUUCGGAUCGUGAAACUCUGUUAUUAGGGAAGAACAAAUGUGGAAGUAACUAUGCACGGCUUGACGGUACCUAGUCAGAAAGCCACGGCUAACUACGUG
rnacentral:rRNA from 1 species